rnacentral:snRNA from 1 species
GUGCUUGCUUGAGCAGUAUAUAUACUAAAAUUGGAAAUGAUACAGAGAUGAUUACCAUGGCCUCAGUGCAAGGACACACAAAUUUGUGAAACAUUCCAUAUUAAA